rnacentral:rRNA from 1 species
UACGUAGGGACCGAGCGUUGUCCGGAUUCAUUGGGCGUAAAGAGCUCGUAGGUGGCUUGUCGCGUCUGCUGUGAAAACCCGAGGCUCAACCUCGGGCCUGCAGUGGGUACGGGCAAGCUAGAGUGCGGGUAGGGGAGAUUGGAAUUCCUGGUGUAGCGGUGGAAUGCGCAGAUAUCAGGAGGAACACCGGUGGCGAAGGCGGGUCUCUGGGCCGAAACUGACGCUGAGGAGCGAAAGCGUGGGGAGCGAACAGG